rnacentral:rRNA from 1 species
UUAAAGUAGUAAGGGCGCAGGGUGGAUGCCUUGGCACUAAGAGCCGAUGAAAGACGUGAUAAGCUGCGAAAAGCUUCGGGGAGGAGCACAUAUCCAAUGAUCCGGAGAUAUCUGAAUGGGGAAACCCGGCAGAGGAAACCUCUGUCAGCGUGCAGUGAAUACAUAGCUGUACGUGGGGAACCCGGGGAACUGAAACAUCUAAGUACCCGGAGGAAGAGAAAGAAAAUUUAUCGAUUUCCAAAGUAGCGGCGAGCGAAAUGGAAAGAGCCCAAACCGUGAUGCGUGCAUCGCGGGGUUCGGACUGCGUUGUGGCAGACGUAAGAUAGGAGAACGGACUGGGAAGUCCGGCCGGAGAGAGUGAAAGCCUCGUAUCCGAAAUCCCAAGUCGCCUAGCAGGAUCCAGAGUAGGACGAGACACGAGAAACCUUGUCUGAACGAGCGGGGACCACCCCGUAAGGCUAAAUACUUCUUAGUGACCGAUAGCGCAUAGUACUGUGAAGGAAAGGUGAAAAGUACCCCGGGAGGGGAGUGAAAGAGAACCUGAAACCCUGUGUCUACAAGCUGUGGGACCUCUUUAUAUGAGGGACUGCGUACUUUUUGUAGAACGGUCCGGCGAGUUGUGCGUACUGGCGAGGUUAAGGACUUAAGGUCUGGAGCCGAAGUGAAAGCAAGCGUUAAUAGCGCGUCAAGUCAGUGAGUGCAGACCCGAAACCGGGUGACCUAUCCAUGUCCAGGUUGAAGCUUCCGUAAGAGGAAGUGGAGGACCGAACCCACAUCCGUUGAAAAGGGUGGGGAUGAGGUGUGGAUAGCGGAGAAAUUCCAAUCGAACCCGGAGAUAGCUGGUUCUCCUCGAAAUAGCUUUAGGGCUAGCCUCAUGAGAGUCUUAUGGAGGUAGAGCACUGAAUUGCCUAGGGGGCGUCAAAGCUUACCAAAGAAUAUCAAACUCCGAAUGCCAUCAAGAUGAUUCAUGGGAGUCAGACCAUACGAGAUAAGUUGGAUGGUCAAAAGGGAAAGAGCCCAGACCUACAGCUAAGGUCCCAAAGUACGUGUUAAGUGGAAAAGGAUGUGGGGAUUCUAAGACAACUAGGACGUUGGCUUAGAAGCAGCCAUUCAUUGAAAGAGUGCGUAAUAGCUCACUAGUCGAGAGUCCCUGCGCCGAAAAUGUCCGGGGCUGAAACACGACACCGAAGCUUAGGAAUGUGUAAACAUUGGUAGAGGAGCAUUGCUAGCGGGAUGAAGCCAUACCGUAAGGAGUGGUGGACUGCUAGGAAGAGAGAAUGCCGGAAUGAGUAGCGAGAUGAAGGUGAGAAUCCUUCAGGCCGAAUAUCUAAGGUUUCCAGAGUAAAGCUGAUCUGCUCUGGGUAAGUCGGGACCUAAGGCGAGGUCGAAAGACGUAGUCGAUGGAUAACAGGUUGAAAUUCCUGUACCGCAUAUAAACAGAACUGUGGGGACACAGACAGGGAAUGGAAUCCGGGAAUGGAUAUCCCGGUGCAAGCGAGGUAGGAGUGCUGUUGGCAAAUCCGCAGCACGAUCUGAAGACGUGACGCGUACCGAACAUAAGUAGGGAAGUCCAGGCCCCUGGCUGUCAAGAAAAGCCGCUAUUGUUUUAUAUGUGCCCGUACCGCAAACCGACACAGGUGGAUGAGGAGAGAAUCCUAAGGCCGACGGGAGAAGUAUUGUUAAGGAACUCGGCAAAAUGACUCCGUAACUUCGGGAGAAGGAGUGCCAUGAGAGUGGCCGCAGAGAAAUGGCCCAAGCAACUGUUUAGCAAAAACACAGGUCUAUGCAAAACCGCAAGGUGAAGUAUAUGGGCUGACGCCUGCCCGGUGCUGGAAGGUUAAGGGGAGAGGUUAGCGCAAGCGAAGCUUUGAACUUAAGCCCCAGUAAACGGCGGCCGUAACUAUAACGGUCCUAAGGUAGCGAAAUUCCUUGUCGGGUAAGUUCC